GAGGCAGAGGACACUGACCAUUCCCUUGGCCUUCUUGGAUGGACUGAGCUGUCGGCUGCCAGCAGCGUCGUCUAUGGGGAAAGAGUGCUGCAGAUCCUCAUCAUCUUUAUGGCCUUGACCAGGUCAGAGACAGAAGCAGAUGUACGAGAGGAACGAGGACAGGUGACUGAGGAAGAUGAGUGGAGGGGGCAGGACUGGCCUCUCGUGGUACACCAUGAUGAAAUGAUAGCGUUGGUACUUCCACACCAGGUUCGACAUGGACUUCACUUGCAGAUACACGUUGCUGUGACGAAGAAAGAGACUCAGUAAAGAUCAGUUCUGCACAUGCUCACCUGUUUCAUCGCGAUUACGAGGAUUUACAGAGUGUCCUCUUCUAGAGCAGAGAGAGCCUGCCAUAGUAAUCCUGCCCGUUCUAAAAACACACUAUAUUCUCACUAUGAGAGGAGUCAGAAAGUGAGUGGUGUGUGUGUAGGAGUUGAGAGUUCAUUAUUGGCUUACUUGAAGAAGGCUAUGAGGAGAUUGACCAUGAGAAUAUACUGAACAAAGAGGUAGACCGCUUGCAGGAGUGGAGUCAGCCACACUCCACUUCUACAGAGAGCCUUCUGAGAUUCAUCCGCAUUCUCGGCACACACUGCAAAGGAACACGAAGAAUAUCAGACAGAGUAGCACUGUGGCACAUAGGUGCUGAAUGGUGCAUUUUGUCAACCUAAGGCCCAAACAUUAGCAGCGUAUCUGAUGCUUUCGAAAAGAAAGACGGCCCACACACAAAUGAGAUAGGCAGGACUGUUUGUUGUUGUGAUUUCCUAUCUAUCUGUCUGUCUAUCUGACUAUCUGCUUCACCCACUCUGGUUUUGGGAUUUCAGGAAUUUCAAGUCAUAAAAGUAGUCAUAAAAUUUGUAUUUUAAUCUCUAACCUUUAAUCUUUCUAUUAAACUGACUUAAGUAUUAUCACUUUGUACAAUAUACACAAACAAUGAAACUGAAAACAUGACUACUCUACAUUAACACAUUUGUACAUGAAAAUAGUGUUGUUCAAUUAAAGUUCACUUUGGUAAGAAUAAUAGAUUUGGAGUGCACAACUACUGAAAUGGUUUGCUACAUAAAAUAUCCGUCAAAACACCUUUAAAAGCCCAGAGAAGUUUGUGGAAUGUAAGGCUUUGUGUGCCUAUAACCUUGACAUAAGCCUGUGGACCUUGGUUGGUUGUUUGCUCCUCGUGAGAGUUCUGAGAUUUGCAACUGGUUUUAGUUCUAGUUUAGUCUGUCGAUUUUUGCAUAAGGGGUUUAUUUACAAUCAAUAACCUUUUAAAUGUGAAAUAAGAUCCAUCGUCCCAGCAGCACCCUAAUGCACUUCAACAUAUAGCGAACAUUACCAGUCCUCUAUGUUACUAUGCGACAAAGACUGAUGAAUGAAACUAGAUACUCUAUUUUUGAAAGGAUAUAUAUAAAAAAAAAAUUAGAUACACACAAACACACACGCAAAAUUGGUCUAUGGUAAGGGGAACUUAACAACAAAAUACACUUGUACCUUCAUUGCUCAUUUGUGCUGUGUUCAUACAUUAGUUCUAAUUAUACAUUUGAACCUGCUUGCGGUAAAACAAAUGUAAAUCAAUAGAGGGUAUGGAAAGUUGUUCACUAAAUCUCAGAGCUCCAGGCAAACAUCAUGAGAACCACACACAGGCUUAUCUUCAGGUGACAGAUCCAUCAAGCUUAAUGUUCUACAACCUUUUGUCCAAGUGAGGCAUUUUCACACAUACUGCUUACACGACUUAAGUACAUUUUACUCCAGAGAGUCCCUCGCUGGGUGAUGAAAUGUGCAUCUACGGUAGGUGGCAGGCAACCUCGUUUCCCCACUGGACUACUUCCAGUGAGGUGGGGCAGUGGGAGUGAAGAUGGUCUUUGAUUAGGCCGUCGUGGAGGUAUGAUUCCCAUGUGUUGGUGCCAAUCAGCGUCCCAUGCUGUGCCUAAGAGGUCUGUAAUAAAAAGGUCCCUUACCAUCAUAGUCCUCCUUACCGUCGAUUUCAUACGCAUACACUUCACCAUACAUCAUCCAGUAUGGUUGAAACACCACAUCUUUGGCCAGCGUCCAUGAGGCAGUCUCGUUCGGGUACAGGAUGGCUUUUCUGGGGACGCCGUAGCUCAGAAGCACUAUCGCCAUGAUCACCACAAUGUAAAACAUGUUGGCCACCUGCCAGAGCACCAAAAGCAAGCCGUCUGUUAGUGCCAAGUUUAGCAAUUCUGCUUCAGCUUCCAGCAUUAAUUAUGGUUAUACUAGAUAACUAAAAACUGUUAUCUGUGUGGGUCAAAAUGUUAAUGCAACAGCUCAUACAUAGGUUAAAUUUAAAGCUGAAAAAAAAGAUCGUAAAGGGAACGUACCAUUUUGCCAAUCAUCAUAACAUAUGGCCCAGCUUGCUGGUUCACGGCCAAAAUAUCAAGGAGACGCACGUACCAAAAUAUAAUAUUCAAGCAAUACACAGUUCUUCCAGCAAUAAAAACACUUUCUUCAUAGGCUCCAAAUCUCAAACCGAAUCCCACAAAAAAAGACACAAUUGCAGCAAAGUCUGAUAUGUUAAAA